rnacentral:rRNA from 1 species
CUAAGGCUAUGGCACCCUGAACAACCUCGAUCUCAUCUGAUCUCGGAAGCUAAGCAGGGUCGAGCCUGGUUAGUAUACUUGGAUAGUAGACCACCUAAAAAAAACAAAAACAAAAACCCUGUAGCUCCUUAUC